rnacentral:rRNA from 1 species
GACGGGACCGCACAAGCGUGGAUGAUGUGAUUAAUUCGAUGCAACGCGAAAACCUUACCUACCCUUGACAUGUCCGGAAUCCGAAGAGAUUUGGGAGUGCUCACAAGAGAACCGGAACACAGGUGCUGCAUGGCUGUCGUCAGCUCGUGUCGUGAGAUGUUGGGUUAAGUCCCGCAACGAGCGCAACCCUUGUCAUUAGUUGCCAUCAUUUGGUUGGGCACUCUAAUGAGACUGCCGGUGACAAACCGGAGGAAGGUGGGGAUGACGUCAAGUCCUCAUGGCCCUUAUGGGUAGGGCUUCACACGUCAUACAAUGGUCGGUACAGAGGGUUGCCAACCCGCGAGGGGGAGCUAAUCCCACAAAGCCGAUCGUAGUCCGGAUCGCAGUCUGCAACUCGACUGCGUGAAGUCGGAAUCGCUAGUAAUCGUGGAUCAGCAUGUCACGGUGAAUACGUUCCCGGGUCUU